rnacentral:rRNA from 1 species
AGUGAACGCUAGCGGUAGGCCUAACACGUGCAAGUCGAACGGCAGCACAGGAGAGCUUGCUCUCUGGGUGGCGAGUGGCGGACGGGUGAGGAAUACAUCGGAAUCUACUCUGUCGUGAGGGAUAACGUAGGGAAACUUACGCUAAUACCGCAUACGACCUACGGGUGAAAGCAGGGGACCUUCGGGCCUUGCGCGAUUGAAUGAGCCGAUGUCGGAUUAGCUAGUUGGCGGGGUAAAGGCCCACCAAGGCGACGAUCCGUAGCUGGUCUGAGAGGAUGAUCAGCCACACUGGAACUGAGACACGGUCCAGACUCCUACGGGAGGCAGCAGUGGGGAAUAUUGGACAAUGGGCGCAAGCCUGAUCCAGCCAUACCGCGUGGGUGAAGAAGGCCUUCGGGUUGUAAAGCCCUUUUGUUGGGAAAGAAAUCCAGCUGGCUAAUACCCGGUUGGGAUGACGGUACCCAAAGAAUAAGCACCGGCUAACUUCGUGCCAGCCGCCGCCGUAA